GUGCCGGAGCAUCGUUAACGAGGCAGCCCGUGCUCGGUUCUCACCACAAACCAAAGACGAGUAGCGAAGGAUUCGCAAGAAGCUUUCUUUCCUCGGAACACAUCCGCAAUCGCUUGCUCUCAGGAUCAAAUCUUCUCCCUUCUGGAAAUGGUGCUACAAUAAGAGUAACCUCUUUCGUCAUCGGACAAAUAUGUGCAGGUUUGGCAACUGAUUAGUAGCCUAAGAUGCCGCUAGAAGAGAAGAAACACUAGUAUCUGUUUCAACUUCUUUGCAAAAACUGAGCAAGAGCCUUAUAGUAAUUUUCUGACUCCGCCAUUUAACGAUGCUCCUCUUGUUGGAAAGUUGAGGUUGAACAAGUAGAUGAACAGAAACUCCACUGUGCGUGUGUUCAUCACCAUUUGCAUUAUUAGGCAUUCA